CACGACUAGUCACUCUGGAUUGAACAGCUCUGUGAAUUAUUCAUGCCAUGGAAUGUUACUACUGGUGUUUGCAAGCUUAACCAAUUGGCCAUCAGCUGUGACCAGGACUGGCUGUGACCACACAAUUAAGUAAUCAGUACACACACCGAUUAUCACCUCUUGCACCGAUCAAACCAGAGCACGCAGACCUAACCAAACAGAUAAAGGAAACCACAAGAAAUGAAGAAAAGCAAACACGCACUCAUCGAUCCCUUCAUAGCUGAUCGAUCAAUCUCUUCUUCUUGCUCGCUACGUACUACGACCACGUUCGACAUCCUCUCAUGUCGAUCCAUCCAUGAUCCACCAUCUCCACGUGCACUGACUCACCGAGCUUAGCUCGACUAGAUGGAGCAGGUUUUCUCAAAAAAAAAAAAGACUAGAUGGAGCAGGUGUAGCCGGUGGGAGGCGUCUUGCCGCAGGUGAGGAGGAGCUGGAGGGCGAGGGGCAGGACGAGGUUGAUGUUGAGCAGCUUGAGCCGGAUGGUGGUGCACAGGCAGACCGCCGCCUCCAGCUCCACAAGCCCCUCCAGCAGCGGGCAGCACUUGUUCACCACCGGGUCGCCGAGCCCCACGUGCACCAGCCCGCCCAGCAGGUCCACGCACGCGCCGAUCUUCAGCGAGUCCACCGGGCACGUUUGCGCCGCGGGCGUCGCCGGUGGUGGCGGAGGGCAUGGCGUGUUCACUGGCGGCGUCGGGUACGUGACCGGGGGAGCGGUGACUGGAGGUGAAGGGUAAUGACCGGAGGGGCGGUCACCGGUGGCGCAGGGUAGGUGACCGGAGGGGUGGUCACCGGUGGCGCUGGGUAUGUGACCGGAGGCGCGCUCACCGGCGGCGUGGGGUGGGUCACCGGCGGGCCGACGACGACAGGUGGCUUGGUGACCGGCGGGCGCGUGAUGGGGCCCUUGGGCGGACCGUAGACCGGCGGCCGGGGCACGUGGCCCUUCGGCGGGCCGACGACCGGCGGGCGAGGGACGUGGCCCUUCGGCGGGCCGACGACCGGCGGGCGCGGGAGGUGGCCCUNNNNNNNNNNNNNNNNNNNNNNNNNNNNNNNNNNNNNNNNNNNNNNNNNNNNNNNNNNNNNNNNNNNNNNNNNNNNNNNNNNNNNNNNNNNNNNNNNNNNNNNNNNGGUGGGGCCCUUGGGUCCCGGCUUGGGGUCCUUGGUGGGGGGCUUGGUCUUGGGCGGGUGGGAGGGCUUGGGGGCCUUGGGCUUGUCGCAGUCGCAGUCGAUGGCGGGCGCCGCGACGGCGGCGGUGAGGAGCAGGAAGAGGGUGAGCAGGAGCGGACGGAGCUUCUUCGUGCUCGCCGCCAUGGCUGCCAGCUGGUGGUAGUGGUGGACGAGCGUGGUGGUGGACAGGAGGAGUGAUGCGUGCUUCUAGGGUUUGUGAGUACUGUAGUUUUAUAGAGCGAGCUGGGUGCAUGGGAUUGGAGGCCCGUGAUCUCGUUGGUGGCUAGGGUUUUCAAAUUGUGCGUCUGUGACUGAGUGACUUACUGUGGACUGCGAUGUGUUGUUCGAAGCUUCACCAAUCACCACCCACGGGGCCAAAUUAUAUUACAUCCAAACGAAACACACGCGAAUUGAGACUUUUCAUUUUCUUGCCGUGUAGUGCGGUGCCUGAAAAAUUAUGUUAGUCAAAUUUUUAGACCGUUAGAUCACAGUCCAACAGUCACGAUCCUGGGUGCACUAUUUGUCUUCAACGUCUAGCUGUCUUCCUCCUGCAGCCUGAUCCCCCACAGGCCAGCUCACUGCCUGCUUCCACCACCUCCACUCGGCGGCGCUUUCGCGAUCGCCUUGCCGCCCCACCCUCCCUUGCCCUCAUCGAACAGCUGAUUUCUUCGGCGACCUCACACCCCAUUGCCGCAAUCCGCACCAGUCAACAUGUUUCUUCGCCUUCACCUAGGACAUCGAAGCUCACCGUCUCGAACACAUCAAGGGCAAGGUGCAGCCCGAAAGUUGUCGAAUGUACCACUGUGGCGUCCGAGCCAGCGACGAUGUCCGCGGCGGUGAGCACGGAUGGGGGGACUGCAGCGUCGGUGCUGGCAGCGGAGCUACGAGACGUCCGGGGUAGAGGAGGAAGAAGAGAGGAGAGAGCAAAUGAAAUCGAUAGGUCAGGAAGUGGAUUUGGCGUAAUUUGUGAUGUUGUUGUGGUGUUAGGUUCGAUGUGGAGGUCGUGCCUGGGCCUCCUCAUAAGGGUGCCGGUCAGCCCGGCGUUUAACACCUGUUUGAAGCGUGCGUAAUGGUCGCAAAAAAAAAAUUUUUACGCCCGGGCGAUUGAGGAGCCCGGCCGUAGAUGAUCUCACAUACGAUCCUUUUGGUACCACAGCAAAUUACCACCACACAAGAUUCUCUUGGUACCACUGCAAAUUACCACCGACAUUGAAAAGAGAUACAAUCCGUGCAUGCACUGUCGCAGUCAUGCCUGCUUGCACCAACAUACUCCUAGUCAAGAUCGAUGUCUAAUCCAAUCACGACUGGCCACUCUGGAACAGCUCUGUGAAUUAUUCAUGACAUGGAAUCUUACUACUACUGUUUACUUGUUUUCUUCUUAUUAUUUGCUAGCUUAACCAGUUGGUCAUCAGUUGUGACCAAUUAAUUAAUCAGCACACAUCGAUUAUCACCUCUGGCAUCAAACCACAACACGCAGGCCUAGCCAAACACAAAAUAAAAAUCACAAGAAAAACAAACACUCAUCGAUGCAUUCUUAGCUGAUCGAUCGAUCUCUUCUUGCUCGCUACUAGCUACUAGCUAGACGACGACCAUGCAUCGACAUCCUCUCAUGUCGAUCCAUCCAUCCGUCCGUCUCCACGUGCACUGGCACUGUGGCACACUGACUCGCCGAGGUUAGGUCGACUAGAUGGAGCAGGUGAAGCCGGGUGGCGGGGUCUUGCCGCAGGUGAGGAGGAGCUGGAGGGCGAGGGGCAGCGCGAGGUUGAUGUUGAGGAGCUUGAGCCGGAUGGUGGUGCACAGGCACACCGCCGCCUCCAGCUCCACCAGCCCCUCCAGCAGCGGGCAGCACUGGUUCACCACCGGGUCGCCCAGGCCGAUAUGCACCAGCCCGCCCAGCAGGUCCACGCACGCCCCGAGCUUCAGCGUGUCCACCGGGCACGUCUGCGUCGCCGGCGGCGCUGGCGCUGGCGGCUGCGAACCGCAGCCGCACCCCGGCGACGACGGGGGAGUGUUCCCCGGCGUCGACGGGGGAGCGGUGACCGGCGGAGACGGGGGAGUGGGAGUGGUGGCCGGCGGCGACGGGGGAGUGGUGACCGGAGGGGCGAUCACCGGUGGCGCGGGGUAUGUGACCGGCGGCCCGACGACGACGGGAGGAGUGGUGACCGGCGGGCGCGGGGUGGGCCCCUUGGGCGGAGGGUUGGUGAUGGGCGGGUAGGUGACCGGUGGGCCGACGACGACGGGAGGAGCGGUGACCGGCGGACGCGUGAUGGGCCCCUUGGGAGGGCUGUAGACCGGCGGGCGAGGGACGUGGCCCUUGGGUGGGCCGACGACCGGCGUCGGCGUGUGAGGGGCGUUGCCCUUGGGCGGGCCGACGACCGGCGUGCGAGGGAGGUGGCCCUUGGGCGGGCCGUAGACCGGAGGGCAAGGUACGCGGCUCUUCGGCGGGUGGGCGGGGGCCUUGGCCUUGGGCGGGUGGGAAGGCUUUGGGGCCUUGGGGGGCUUGUGGCACUCAUCGCAGGCGAGGGUGGGUGCCGCAAUGGCGGUGGUGAUGAGGAGGAAGAAGGUCAGCAGGAGUGACCGGAGCUUCGUCCUGCUCGCCGCCAUGGCUGCUACCUAGCAGCUAGCUUCUGGUGUGGAGCACGAACGAGGUGGAGCACUGAUGUGUGCUUCUAGAGUUUGUGAGUAGUGUGGCUUUAUAGAGCGAGGAGCGUGCACUGGAGGCCCGUGAUCUCUACGGUGGCUAGAGUUUUCAUACUGUGCGUGUAGGUGACUGGGGAGUGACUUUCUGUGUACUGUCAUGUGUUGUUCGAAGCUCCAUCCCGCGCGGGAGCAAAUUAUGUUAGUUCGUUUAGAUCAUAACAAAACACGCGUGAAAAUGAGACUUUCUAUUUCCAGGUCGUGUGGUUGUUUUAAAUUAAGGAGUGCCUAAUAGAGUUAGUCAAGAUGCCUGAAAAAAAAAUCACGUCAGUCAAAUUUUUGCAUGCACAGUUUGGGCAUUUCAACUUUUCAAGCCAAUCUCUUAUAUUUGAACUCCUUAUAUGCCAUUUAUUCUUAACUACUUGUACUUUGAGGAGCUAAACGAUGGCCAGACGUAGCAGAACCCUUAUAUUUAACCCUCUAAUUUCUUUUCUUUUUACCAAUUCUUCUAGCCUAUGUCACAUACUCCCUCGGUAAAGAAAUAUAAAAGCGUUUAGAUCACUACUUUAAUGAUCUAAAUGCUCUUAUAUUUCUUUACGGAGGGAGUACAUUUCAAAUAAUUUCAUGAUAUUUCAUGAAUCAUUUGAAUGACUUAAUUUGAAUAUACACAAACAAAUCAACCGUAAACAUGCAUAUGGUUCAUCUAAUCGAGCAAUUCAAACUAAAGCAUGCAUGUAGUUCAUCCAAAGGGCACCACGUCGAUCAAGUUUGAUCCAAAAUCACCACACCAUAGUAUGGUCCUAUGGCGUGGAUCGAGCCCUACCAAAGACAUGUUUCAUGCUCGCCAAGUCAAGCACUUUUGUGGUCAUCACCUCCAAAGAAAUCAUCAACACCCCACCACCAUCAUCCCCACGGCCACCACAGCCUCCAUGGACACCACCACCAUCACCCCCAUGACCACAACCAUAUCACCCCCACAAGAGGCCUUCGAUUGGACUGUGGUCUCUAAACGAGUGAGCUCCAUUUCUUCGGCCUUCAUCCCAAUACGUGUUUGCCACGGCAUCCGUCAUGCUUGGGUCCAUGAACAUGGUAGCCCUCUCUUCGGCCUUCUUCUCUUUUGCAAACCUUUCCUCCUCGAGUGCAAUCAUAUGCUCCUCCUUCUCUUCACCUUCCUCUCUUUGGCCGCCAACUUUGACCUCCACUUCUCGUCCUCCAAGCACUUGACCUCGUUCCACCUUGCCACCUUGUCUUCUUUGUGUUCGGCCUCCAAUGCUUUUCUUGGUCUCAAUCAUAGCACAGAGCUCUCCUUCAUGUAGGUAUCGGCGCUUCCACACGGUUCUUCCUCUCUUUUGCAAGCUUUUGCACAUCCGGCCUCCUGUAAGGAUUUUCAUCCUCCUCGUCAUCGCUCGCUGCACCCACACCCACUCCUUACACACCGUCUGAUCUUGUUCUUCCACAGUUCACAUGGCUCCAUGCCGCCAAAUAAGGUGCUUCAUCUAAAUCUUCAAGACUGCUAAAACCCUAACCCUAACUCUUAACCAAAGUUUUAAAUCGUGGGAGAAAUGAUUUUGUGACAACUUCUCUCGGCAUCUAUAGUGGGUGCUAUUGAGGAUAAUCAUUGAUGUAGCAAGCACUUUUCCAGUCGGAGGAGAUUAUUUUCAUAGGUUAUUGCUCAAUUUCGGGCGUUUAGCUACAUUUCUGUAGGAUUUCGCAAUGGUGGCCCCCUAGCAGCUAUAGCUCCGCUAUAGCGGCAAUUUCGUGGGACAUUUAGUUUCAUGCUCUUAGCUCGUCUCUCUUCCGGCUGGAAGGGGUGUGCGCCCUUUACAUGAAGUCCCUACCUCGGUUCAAAAUGUUCUUCCCAUCACUGAGUCCAAUCUGGCUUGCUAGACAGGAAGAAGAUGAAAGAUCAAGGAAGAGGACAUAUCUUGAAUGAAAAGAAAAACUUUGGUUGUCGAUCACUAAAUAUAAAACAAUAGAUGUAAGUUAUUACGUCAAUGCAACCAACAGGAAACAGUAUCAGACGGUAACUAGAUAGGCAAUGAUACAAAUAAUGCCUUUGGAGCACGGCAGAUUGAGCCCCUUUUUAAGUUAAAAAAGAAUUAUGGCCUGAAAAAUUCCAAAAUUUUGUGUACCUAUAGUAUAGUAGUGUACUAUAAUUGCGCAAAUUUAUAUCAAUAUACGUGCUUGCAUGUGAAAGACACAAAAAGGACAAAUACAUGAAAAAAAUUGGAUUUUUUGUUGAUUUUUGGGCCAAAAGUUUGUCUUCUUUGGUUAGCGUGCAAUACAACAUACUAUUGAAUGAAAUUUAACAUACACUUAGACCACGUGCAUGUGUAUUCAUGUAAAAUAAUCAAAUCUUUUCGAAAUUUUUAAGCACCAUUUUUUAGGGGUUUAAAAAACGUUUUCUAAUGCAACCCUGCUCCAAAAGUCCGCUUUAGGCAAUGAUACAGCUACUAUAUAUGAGUAGUAUUUUUGAAAUAAACUACUCCCUCUGUAAACUAAUAUAAGAGCGUUUAGAAUACUAAAAUAGUGAUCUAAACGCUCUUAUAUUAGUUUACAGAGGAAGUAUAUAUGAGUAGUAUGUUGAAAGGAGUUGCAAGUGCCGGUGAUUUCGGCCUGGGUACAGGAUCGCCGUCUCGUGACUAAUGUACGGCGAUGGUGCUCUCUUCCUAGGUUGUUGUUCUCCGUUGAAUAGAAGACAAUGGAGUACAGUACGUAUUUUGUACUCCUACGUACAUACGUACGUUUCGCGUCGAGAUGGAUCUGCACAUGCAUGCUAUAUCCUUCCAUCCGAUUGGACAUGACAAAUCAAUCCGCAUUUUCAUGGAAGCCUCAUUUUUCAUGCACGCGUGAGAGCGUCAUCUAGCUAGCCCCCAAGGAGCCCCAAAUGAAUGUACAGUACUGUGCUGAGUAUCUCUGACCGACUGAGCUUAAGAAAACGGAAAUGCUUUCUGGCGUCUGUUCCCCAGGAGGAAAUCCCCAGAGAACAUCCCUCGUAGCCACAGGAUUAAGAUCUGACUAUGGCAGUUUUUAAAUAAAAAUAAACGAAAUGCCAUUGAGCCCCUUUCUUAGAAGAUAAAAAAUGAAACUUUAUGUCCUGAAAAAUUCUAAAAAAAAGUGCUUGCAGUAGUAGUGUACUAUAAUUGUGCAAAUUUAUAUCAAUAUAUGUGCUUGCAUGCGAGAGACACAAAAAGACAAAUACUUGCAAAAAAAUAGGAUUAUUUUUUUGUUGAUUUUGGGGCUGGAAUUUUGUUCUUUUUGUGUAACAUACAACUACAACGUAUUAUUGGAUAAAUUUUAACAUGUACUUAAACCACAUGCAUGUGUAUUCAUCUCAAAAAAACAAAUCUUUUCGAAAUUUUUAAUCACCAUUUUUUAGGGGUUUAAAAAACAUUUUCCAAUGCAACCGGGCUCAAAAAGUCCGCUUUAGGCCCUCUAUUUCAAAAUAUAGUGCGCCCGCAUUUUUUGAGGUCCAACUUUGACCAUAAAUUUAACCAACGAGACCAACUGUGGGCGGAGAAAAAAUUAUAUAAUUGAAAACUUCUUUCGAAUACGAAUUCACUGGUAUAAUUUUUGCUCCCGCCGCAAUCGGUUUUGGUAGUUAAAUUUACGGUCAAAGUUAAAGCACGUGGAUAGAGGAAGCACUAUAUUGUGGAAUGGAGUGAGUACUAUAUAUUUUUUUUGAAACGGAGGCAAAAGAUUUGCCUCAUCGAUUAAUUAAGAAGAAGAGAAUUGCCCAGUUAAUUUUUGGAAAACCGGGCAAAAACCGAUACAAACAACCCAAGGUCGUACUACUCACAGAACAGGAAACACCGUGACCGCACAUGUGGCCCUCCCAAUGCACCACAACCGAAACCCUUGACACUUGUACAACACAGCGGAGCUUCACACAAGAACAUCGACCACGAUAAAAACGGAGCACCCUCCAUCAUGAAAUCGUGGGCGUCUUCCGAAUAACACCGCCCUUCUUGCUUUUGUUUCUCUUUGCUUUCUCCCUAUUGGGUUUCUUCUUGGGGAGGCAACCACUUGUGAUGCCGGGUCCAGACUGAUCCGCCACCCAUUUGUCAAGAAAAUCAUAGAACUCAUUGUACUUCUUGAUGUAGUUGUCAUCAACCAAGGGGCUCCUACUAGGGGCAGGCACCAACAAACCGGCCGCAUCGACAUCAUCGGCCCGAGGAACCCCCAACACAUCAUCCUCCACCACAGGAACCAGCGACACAAUGGACUUCGGCGCCUCCAGUUGCUCACACGACAGAGGCAAAACAUCUCACACAAGGUUGUCGACGAGUCCACUUCCAACCGCUCCAAGGACAGAGGCGAAGCAGGGCUCGAACAGAUAUCCCGAAGCUCGGGCAUGAGCUGUAGCACCGGAGUCGCAAGCACAGCGAUGGACUCGCCCACAUCGACAUGCACAACAGACGAAGCAGACAUCAAUGAUGAAUUGUCCCGAACACGAGGGGAGAAACAACCAUAAGGAUCUGCCCCUUCGUCCUCCGUGGAGCCAACAUGAGGGAGUGGUGUCUGCGUGGCCAGAAACGUAGCCGGCAAAAAGGAGAGCCUGCUCAAAGCAGCCUCAGCCCGUUCCAGGAAGCUCUCAAUACGUGUCUGCCAACCCUGAAGCAACUCGGUCUGAUCAGCCAGAGCGGUCUGAAGCACAUCAAUGGAUGGGGAUGCCGGGCUAGCGGAAACAGAAACCACAGACGCCCAAGAUCCACGGUGAAGCGCAACGGAAGGGAGUGUGGAUUUUAAUUGGGCCUCUCUUGGAGUAGGAGGUUGACAAUGUUGGAUGCCAAGGCGAGAGACGGGCGGGACAACAAGAUAUGCCAGAGAGCUGAGAGAACGCCAUGGGUUGCGGCAGUCACAAGCACGAUGACCGUUCUCCAAGCAACGAGAGCAUCGGAAGGGAUCUCUGCAAACCGCCGCCCGGUGUCCAGGGGCGAGGCAUCUGCAGCAUCGACCGCGAAGCCAGGCAAGGAUAGGCCGGGGAGCCAGAGCCAAUGUCGGCGACGCCGAACGACGCCGGCCCCCCACCUUCACCCAUCCCUGGUCCAAAGACGCCUCAGGAGCAGCAGCGACAACAGCAGCGGCAGCCGGAUCGCUCACCCCACUAGAGCACCUGGCAGCCAACGGCGUCAGCGGGGCGAGCUCAUCUUCAUCAUCAAUGCUGCAGACGUUGUCCGCGAGGGAAGCCCACGACACGGCCAAUGGCGGCUGCGGGGUCCGCACAGCGGCGUCGGGGGCUGCACCUAAAUCGGGGCCAACAAAGGGAGCUCCAUGAAGACCAUCGUCUUCGGCAGCAGCGACAGGCGGCGUGGUAGGCGUCGGAGUCGCCAGGCUCAGAUCGGAGCUGGCCCGCGUCUUGGUUGUGGAGGGCCGCAGCAGUUGCAGGCGUCCCCGCACGGCCGGGUCGGCCUUGCGGAAGGCAAGGAAAGUCGCGGCGGCGCCGUUCACAGAGGGCAGCGGCAGACAGGCUGAGGUGGCCUCCGUCGUUGUAGCAGUGGUGGUGCCGUCAGAAGGAGUCAGAGAGGCCGGGGCGGCCUCCGUCGUCGUACCGGUGGUGGCGCCGGCAGGAGGCGCCCGAAAGGCCGGAGCGGGCGCCGUUGUUGAAGCAGGGAGGACACCGGCAGGAGGUUCCCAAGAGGUCGGGGCGGCCGCCGACGUCGGAGCUUGGGGAGCCAUGGCGGGCGAAUGAACGGAGAGGCAGACUGAAGGAGAGGAGAGAGCGCGGCACGGGGGUGCCGGAUCUGGGCACGCCGGACGCGGCAGCAGACCGGAGCGAGGAGAUCAAGGCGGCGGCGGCCGCGCGGGUACGCGCACCAGGGCAGUCGCGAUCUCCGUCGCGGCUGUCGUUUGACUGGAGUUUUGCUGAGUACUAUAUAUGAGUAGUAUGUUGAAAGGAGUUGCCAACUGCCGGUGGUUUCGGCCUGGGUACAUGAUCGCCGUCUCGUGACUAUAUGCACAGUACGUAUGGCUCUUCCUAGGUUGUUGUUCUCCGUUGAAUAGAAGACGACGUAGUACAGUACGUAUUUUGUACUCCGACGUACGUACGUUUCGCGUCGAGAACUCGAGAUGGAUCUGCACAUGCAUAUCCGAUUGGACAUGAGAAAUCAAUCCGCAUUUUUAUGGAGGCCUCAUGUUUCAUGCACGCACGAGAGCGUCAUCUUGCUAGAAGCCCCCAAAGAGCCCCAGAUGAAUGUACAGUACAGUGCUGAGUAUCUCUGGCCGACUGAGCUUAAGGAAAACGGAAAUGCUAUCUGUCGUCCGAGGAAAUCUCCAGCGAACAUCCCUCAUAGCAACAGGAUCAAGAUCUGACGGUGUGGCAGUUUUUGAGUGAAACAAACACUAAAAUAAAUGAAAUGCCAUGCUUUUGGGCAAAAUGCCAUCCCAGAAUACCUAAAAUGCCAGCCGCGAGUGCCAUCUAGCUGGCUAUUGCAGUCCAAAGAAAAUUGUCGCGUCCUUUGAAUCACCGCAGCAUGCAAUGCUGCAUCAGCGCGUACGUCCGGACCGUGUGGCUGGUGGAGCUUUGCUACCUAGGUACACUCCGUACUCCUACAUCUAGUACAUGCCUGCAUGCAUGGCCAGCCGGCCCACAGUCCUCUGCACUCUGCACUGUGCUACGCGUGCCGCUGGGGCCACGCACGAGACCGACUAGCCACCACUCGGGUCCUCUAGCUACGUCUCUAGCCGCACUCGCGGUGCUACAUGGCCGAUAUUUUGCGGCCGACUUCCCUAUCCCUACGACACAAAUCGCAGCCAGCCAUGUAUCCCAUUCGGUCAGUGGCUACAGCCGUCGACCGAUUUUCGUACGCUAACUAUCGUCUUCACUGUAAUUCCGAUAUCCUCCUCUUUGGUUGUAUCGGUUGUCCCUUCCCUCCUGCGACUACACACGCGUAUAUACAUACUCUCUCGGUCUCUCCAAUUCAUAUCAGUUGUCAAUGAUUUAGCCCACGGUUGUACUAAAUCAGCGACAAUUUAUAUGGAUUUCGUAAUUUGCCGAAGAGCGAUAAAAUCAGAGGACGAGGGCUACACGUGCAUGCAUGCAUGCUGGGUUUGCACCAGGUGUGGUGUGUGUGGUGGAUCAAGUCGGGCGGAGGGAGGUAGCUAGCCGUCCGUGAUCCUGGUGGGGCAAGUGUGAAGUUGGAUCCAUGCGGCUCCGUGACCCGGCCGGCAGCCACGUCCUAUCCUGUUCCAAGAUACUCCUCCAGUCCUCCUCGCUAGCCCUCCGUCCGACGCUACUCGUCGUCUUGUCCAAAAUUGUUCUCCUCCCUCGCAAAGCGCAAAUCUAUGGGAGCCAGCGCGCGGUUUCACGUGGGCUCACUGCUCACAGCUCCGAUUGGACGGGUGGUACGUGGCUUUGUUUAGGCGACAGCACGUACGGACGGUUCAGGAUGCAUGCAAUGCAGUCGACCUGCUGCCGUCUCAUGUCCGUACUGUUCACAUUGCUUGAAUUCUAUUCUUUUUCUUGCAUUAGAAACGAGUAGUAUAUUGUUUAGAGCUUUACUUAGCUUGGAGGUCGACGUACUGUGUGCAAAUUAAGUCCAUGCGUACGUUACGAAUCUCUCUUACAUUGGUCGUGUGCGCCCAUGCAAUAUAUACACACAUUCUUGGCGGUGGAACCCAUGUGCGAUCUUGGCAUGUAUACUCCACGAGAUACAUCAUACAUCUUCUGACACAGCAAAGAACAAAGGUGUACUCCCUCCAUUCCACAAUCUAGUGAUCCCUUUAUCUCUGUGCUUCAACUUUGAUCGUAAAUUUAACUACCAAGAUCGAUUGCGGCGGGAGCAAAAGUUAUAUCAGUGAAUGCGUAUUCAAAAGAAGUUUUUAAUUAUGUAAUUUUUUUCUCCUGACGCAGUCGAUCUCAUUCGUUAAAUAUAUGGUCAAAGUUUGACCUCGAAAAGCGUGGGCGUACUAUAUUUUAGAAUGGAGAAAGUAUCUUUUCAACUCCACCUCAUCAAAAACCAUUGUGUGAGGUGUUCUUGCCACGGCACGCAUGUGCCCGUCCUUUGCCCCGAUCUCCCGGUAAUUCUCCGGUACAAUCGGAGGAGGCAAUAAGCUUUCUUUUUGUUUGUUUGAAAUUGCUGGCAAAUAAUAAGCUUUCGUCUCAGCGCGUCGGCAGGCAUGCUAUCAUAUCACCUUGUGCCACUUGCUCAACUGGCGCUGGGUGCCAAAGAGAUGUUCCAAAGCUAGUCAAAUAGUGGGGGUGACCCACUGCCAUCCACUUCUGUUUUGCCUUGUGUUCUUUCCAAAGCAGAGGAGGGCACGAGAUUACAGGAGCAGGCUCAAUAUUUAUUUCAUAUAAAUUCACUUUGGAAAGGGUUUGAACUUUUAGCAGAGUUUAAAGGAAACACCUCGUUGCAAGGAACGAUACCAACUUUCCACAUUUGUUCUCUAUCUUUUAGGCAAAUUUAAGAGUGCUAUUCAAGUGAGGUUAAUCAGGCGUGCCAUGUCCAACAUAAAGCACUUGGGCAGGCGCUUAAGAAAAUACUCACUCCGUUCCAUAAUAUAAGACUUUUUAAAGCUAUUUUAGCUUACAAAAAAACAUCUUAUGUUGUGGGAUGGAGAGAGUGUAAAUUAUUAUUUUUAGCUUAACAGUUUUGCUACCACCUCCAUUCCCAACAUAAACAGCUAUGAGCUACCCAGCAGGCACCUCACCUUGAUUCUUUCUGUACUCAUACCUGGAACUCUCGCCCUAGAGUCAGGAGACUUAGUCGGCAUCGAUGCAAAGUAAAAUCCUAGGAUUGCUGGCUCGCUAGGGUAACGCCGUAACGGCCAGGAAAUUCAUCUUGGUGCCUUGUGCUAGCGCCCUCGUUGGAGGUGCUCUUCAGACUCAUCGUUGGCGUCGCUCCCUUAUAGUGAAUUCUCCUAAGGUGCUAGCGGGCCUAAUGCAUUCCUGGCACUAGGAAGCCAUGAGUGCAGGCAUAAGUAACACACAUGCUUUUCUCCGGGGCGAAGGCCCAUUAUCUCUCCUUGCCGUCAGACCAGAUAGCAUUAAUGUACGGGCAUCAUAACCAUGAUGAAACAACAAUUUUGACUUGAAGAGGUGAUGUACCCAUGUUUGGGCUAGAUGGUUUUCACUUUCAAUGAGAUUUUUAUGAAAUUCAUUAAUUCCAGUCAUCUCACCAAACAAUGAAAUAUUUACCUUUUGGCCAAAAUACUAUGGGAAUUUCAUUAAUACAUAGGAAUUCAAAUAUUUUCCAUAAAUUUCAAAUAUUUAAUUGAAUUCAAGUGAAUUUUUUGUCCGUUUGGCUGAAAUGCAAACAAAAAUCACUGAAAUUUCAGUGAUUUUAGCUAGUGCUAAGAAUUAUCUGGAACUGAAAUUGGAAACCAUGGGCCUGGUUGGACCUUAAAAAAUCGGCAUAUGAGCGGAGAUCUCUCUUGAAAGUGUUGUCUUGUAGGGUUGUGCUUUGUGUUAGAUUACCUCUAGUUUUCUACUGGUGGAUACGUUCGACACUAGGUUAGCGAUAGUUCGUGGGGAAUAUAGCUAUGGCUUUUGAGGCUAGUGUAAAGAUGAUGACCUCUAACUUCCGUUGAGAGGAUGUGUUCGGUCUUAAUGUCCGACAUCAUCUUUGAUAUAAAAUUUGCUUCAUUUUCAAAGAAAGGAAAAUCUUACAGGAUACCUCAAUUUUGCCCCGGUUUAUUCAAUGAUCUUAUCAUUUAACCAUGCAUGACACAGAGAGAUUGAACUGCCAUGUGUUUAGAAUUCUACAAAUAAAAAUACCAUGUUUUUUCAAAAAAAAAAUACAGGCCAUGCACGUUCUAGUCCCAGCUUUAAGCACGCUGGAGGUCAUAUUGGUCCAUCUUUAUCUGAAGGGCAUACUGUCCAUUUUCGCCAAUCAAGUUGACUACGUGAAUUAGCACUCGUUCGAUAAUCCACAAAGCUCUAUUUUCCUGUGAACAACAGAAAAUCCACAAAUGGCUGCCCCAAACGACAAAAGGCCCAAAGCCUCAAAGGCCCACGAUAAAGCUCUCUUCUGAUCCCGGCGGGAAGCAGCACAGCGCUCCACGGCUCCACCCAUUCCCCAGUAUGAAGCGCAGAGCAACGACCACCUAGUUUAGUCCCACCUCGGCUAGCGAGGAGGAAUUCGACCGGCUUAAAUAGCUCGCUCCACCCUCAGAAUCGCCGAGCUCACUAGCGAGAGCUUGUCACCCAAGCGGGGGCUUUGAGGUGGUGUUGGACGGUGUUGUGGUGCUGUGGGCCUGGUCCAGUUGUGCUGUUGUUGGCCCGCCCGUUCCAAGUUGAGUAGUCGUCCGGCGGGGCUUAUGCGAAAGCUGGGCUUCACGGGCCAUGAUGUGGCAGGCACGGCGUGAGGCUGGCCUAACGGUGGAAGGAUAUUACAGGAAAAUUUUAGCUACAGUUUGUGUCCCAAAAACACAUUGGUCCUUCAUUUUUCAUGUGCAUUGCUCUGCUUAUAGUGUCUUGAAUUUUCCUGUAAUAUCUCCCAAGCGGACAUGGGGAUCAACUUAUUUCCUUUUGAACCUAGGGAACCAGGAGGGCUCUCAGUCCCACUGAUGAUCUAAAAGGCAGCGACACGGCAAUGCAAUCACAAUACACAUGACCAUCAUGACAUCAUCAUACAAGUAUGCCCACAGCCUGAGCAUAGAAAAGAUCCAACCCAAGCACAUAAACGUUCUUACAGCAGCACAGGUUGUAAUCAAGCACACCUUAUUGACUCGUAAAGCCACAUUGGGACGGCAAAUAGAUCCCAGAUAUCCAACAAGCGCUGCACAUCUUACGGAAGCACAAGUUAUUAACAACCCUAACAUGACAACCGAAUGAUAGUUUGAGCAAACAUGGCAUACCACAAGGAACUGAGACAGCACGCCAGCAACAGCGUUGCACAAAUAUACCCCAUGCUAGAUAAAAGCAGAUGCAGAAAAAAAAAACUUCAAGCGCAGCAACACAAGAUGUUCUCAAGCUCAUAUAUUAUUACUGACUCAUAAUAUCAAUAUCACACUCCGUUUCGGAAUAACACGUCAUAUCACACAGCAGCGUUUAAAUCAGUUCCACAUAGAGAUCCCAGACAAAGAGAGCGCCCACUUGGGCGUUAACAAUAUUUACGGGGCUGUCAGAUAUGAGCAGCCCUUGACAACUGACGGCGAAGCGAGUGAACAUUGCAUGAGCCGUACCUGCAAAACAGAGAGAAUAGAGUAAGAUGUUAGUUCGUCACAGAAUGAAACUGUUCAAGAAUUAAAGGAAGGAUAGGUCUCGACUAAGAGCCAUCUCAACUAAGGAAGAAUAGAGUAAGAUGUUAGUUCGUCACAGAAUGAAACUGUUCAAGAAUUAAAGGGCGUGUGUGUGUCAGCAGUGUCAUGCUGUACUACAUAAUACUGUGUGUUGACAAGUACCACUUUGCCAUGGUAAAUUGGUAGUGCAUAUGGCAGCCAGCAGUGAAGGAGUUUAAUAAUUAGUUUCCAUGUCUGUUAUUUCAUUAAGAUUAAGUGCUAACCUUUGGGUUUGUUUAUUAUCACUACUAGUAUACCAGAAACUAUCCUAUGCCACACCCUUUAAUCUGAAUCCAAUCUCAAUCAGUGAAUUUUCUAUAUGUGAUACCGUCAUACUUCAUUUUCUACCUUCACAAACAAAAGGACAAAACACCCAGCCCCUGUCAUCUGGAUGAGUUCCAAGACCACCGGCUUACUGAUCUCCAAGAUUCCAGUUAAUUGCAAGUGUUGAACAAGAUCCAUCACUUGGAUGAAUCAUGAAUGCCAGUGAAAUUAUGUUGUAAACACAGAGCAAUAGAAGUCUUAUCUAUGUGCGACUAAGAUUCAUGGUUCUAUCUAUCCAAAAAAAUAAUGGUUUUAAAUUGCUGAUAUAGGAUCAAGGCAAACUGGUUAUGGCAUAUGAAGUAUAAGGGGUACAUCGAAGUUGAAUAGCACAUAAUGUGCCUUUCUAGCAUGAAGCUAAUUCUGAUGUUGCUAUAUUUCAUGCCAUUUACAGUUUUAUAACCACAGCAAAAAGGAGAACAAUGAAAGAUUGGCAUCACACAGAGUGAAUGGAUCAAAGGGUAACUUUUGCACAAUGGGUAAAUCAUCCAAAUGGCAAGUGAAAAUUAUCCUCCAACCAUUCCCAAAAUAUAAGGUGUAUUAGUUUUUUCAAAAGUCAUACUUGUGCAUGUUUGGCCAAGUUGUUAAAAUAAUGUAUCGGUGCCUAAAAUACUAAAUUUAUAUCAUUUGACGCGCACAGGGCNNNNNNNNNNNNNNNNNNNNNNNNNNNNNNNNNNNNNNNNNNNNNNNNNNNNNNNNNNNNNNNNNNNNNNNNNNNNNNNNNNNNNNNNNNNNNNNNNNNNNNNNNNNNNNNNNNNNNNNNNNNNNNNNNNNNNNNNNNNNNNNNNNNNNNNNNNNNNNNNNNNNNNNNNNNNNNNNNNNNNNNNNNNNNNNNNNNNNNNNNNNNNNNNNNNNNNNNNNNNNNNNNNNNNNNNNNNNNNNNNNNNNNNNNNNNNNNNNNNNNNNNNNNNNNNNNNNNNNNNNNNNNNNNNNNNNNNNNNNNNNNUACAUUGACGGGACUAUAUGCCCUUGUGAUAUAAUCAAAAUGACUUGGCGAAAGGAUGUGGAGCUAUAAAUUGCAGAUAUAUAGGCCAGUACAUCUCAAUACCAUCAUUAUUUUGUACCAUGGAAGUACUUCCUGGAUUAGGCACCUAAGCAUAGCUUUCAGACUGAACUUCAACGAACAUGCAUAAUAUAGUACAAACUCCAACACAUGCAAAAUAUCCCUAUAUGGUACUCCCUCCGUCCGAAAAAGAUUGUCCCUCUAAUGGAGUAGAUACAUCCAUUCGAGGGACAAGCUUUUUCGGACGGAGGGAGUAUAUCACACUCUCAAUUGCAUACCGUAAAUAAUAUGUCAAAUAGAAGGGUGUGUUCAUACACAUAAACCAGGCUUGAUAGAAGCUUGACAACAUAUGCACAAUAUUCAGUGUUGCUAUCUUUUGUUGUUAUUAUUGUUACAGCCUUACAGGUAUCAUGUACUAAUCUGAAAUCUAUCUUUUUAAGUGUAAAACUGAACCAGAAGCACCACAUUAUUUCUCAAACUUAUCAGCUAAAGAAUUCCAAAUCGAAAGGCUUGAAAGAAUCACCACAUUAUUUCUCAAACUUAUCAGCUAAAGAAUUCCAAAUCGAAAGGCUUGAAAGAAGCACCACAUUACUUCUUAAACUAAUCAGCUAAAGAAUUCCAAAUCGGAAGGCUUGAUAGAAGCACAACAUUAUUUCUUAAACUCAUCAGCUAAAGGAUUUCAAAUCAAAAAGCUUGAAAGAACUUUGACAACAUUAUACACAAUAUUCAGUGUUUGCUAUCUUUUGUUGUUAUUAUUGUUACAGCCUUACAGGUAACAUGUACUAAUGUGAAAUCUUCAAUUUUAAGUGUAAAACUGAACCAGAAGCACCACAUUAUUUAUCAAACUUAUCAGGUAAAGAAUUCCAAAUCAAGAGGCUUGAAAGAAGCACCACAUUACUUCUUAAACUUAUCAGCUAAAGAAUUCCAAAUCGGAAGGCUUGAAAGAAGCACAACAUUAUUUCUUAAACUUAUCAGCUAAAGGAUUCCAAAACGAAAGGCUUGAAAGAAGAUUACAUACGCACCACGACAACCUAACAAUCACAAAUUCUCAUCAUAGCUGAUGAGACGACAUUAAAGGACCAAGUCUCAAGUAUAAAAGGUAAACAAUAUGGUGCAGCAGCAGGCAAGUAGUAUACAAUAUGAUAUACAAUGCUCUUGACCUUGAAAGAAGCUCGGUGUUAUACACGAUAUGCAAAGCUAGCUAACCUUCGCUCUUACAGUUGUUAGCGGUAACAUGUUAGGACAAAUAUUAGUUGUACAAAUGUAAAUCUAGAAUAAUGCAGGUGCAAAACUAAGCCAGAAGCUAAAAAAAGCUUACAUAAGCACCAGGACAACCUAACAACCACAAAUCCUCAUCAUACUUGAUGAGACGACAUUAUUACAGGACACAAUUUUUCUUAUGUACUCCCUCCGUCCCAAAAUUCUUGUCUUAAAUUUGUCUAGAUACGGAUGUAUCUAAUACUAAAACGUGACUUGAUUCAUCCGUAUUUAGUCAAAUCAAGAAUUUUGGGACGGAGGGAGUAAAAACUAUAAACAAUAUUGUGCAGCAGCAGGCAAUUAGUAGUAUAUCACUCGUUCAUUCGUAUACGAGGGGCCAGGCUUAGAUCUAAAUAAUCACCUGAAGUGAAGUGAAAGCCGUCGUUCAGCCGCGGGCCUUGAGCUCAGCGAGGCGGCGGGUGAGGUCGUCCUCGUCGACCUUCUCCUUCUCCUUGGCGGCCGGGAUGGCGUGGGCGGCGGCCUGGGGGAGGCCGACGGAGACCUCGAGGCCGUAGUCGUCGGCGACCUGCUGCAUGAGGGAGUUGACCUCGGUCUCGGGCGUGGAGAGGGAGGUGGAGCCGGCCAUGGCGCCCUCCAUGAACUCGGCCUGGACCUCCAUGUUGACGAACUGGCGCUCGAAGCUGUCCAUGGUCUCGGACAUCUUCUGGAGGUUGCCCGUGGCGAGGGAGGAGUCGAGCGACUUGACGAUGUUGCCCAUGGACUUGCCGAUGGCCUGCAUCUUGGCCUGCGUGUCGAGGCGGGCGACGACGGCGUCGAGGCGGGAGGCGAGGCGGAGGUAGUUCAUGUGCUCGGUGCGCUUGCGGAUGGCGUUCUCGGCGUAGAUCCGCGCGCCGUCCACGUUGCCCUUCUCGAUGGCCUUCUUCACCUUGAGCUUCUGCUCCUUCUCCUCCUUCUCGCACUUGCGCGCCUGCCGCUGCAGCGACUUGGACGUGAACUUGAGGUCGAAGAUCUGCGCCAUCAGCUUCUCCGGGUUGCCCAUGGCUGCCUAGCUAGGGUUUCGGGGCGGGGCGGGGCGGGGCGAGGGAUUCGGUUUGCGGCGGAGGUCUGGUGGGGGUCGGGGCUGGGAGAUCGGGAAUUGGGGAUUGCGGAGAGGAUUGGGGAUUUUUUUAGGGGAGAGGCCAGGCCACACGCGGUUUGGUUGUGACACGGCGAAGCAACGAGCCGCUGCGUGUGGGGUCGGCCGACGGCGCGUGCCGUGCGUUCCAUGGACUAGGGGUCUGACUUUUUUCCCCUUGCUAUAUACUCCCUCUUUUUUUUGAACUUCAUAUACACUCUCUCUGGGAGUAUCUGUUUUUUUUCAACGGUUUUGCUAAUUCUCGGUCGCCUACGCAUUGCGAAGUUUUUAAUGGCCGUCGAGAUUUUCGUUCUUGCAAUCACUUGUGAUUCCGAGUGCAUGGAUCCUCGGAGGGGACGAGAAAUUAUCAUAGGAUCCGUGCGGCACCGACGCGCGCGGAGAUGAUGACGAUGGUGAUCUGAUUUUCGCAUCGGUGGUUAGAGUGAAGCCGAUGCUCGCGCAUGAUGUAAGUGAUGGCUUCGUGAUUUGUACUUGAUCUGAUGUUAUUGCUAGACUAGAUGCUUGCAGACUCGCGAUUCCGCAGGUGUUGUUUCAGAUACGAUAGGGUUCUCCGACUUGACUAGACCUAAUGGGAUUCCACCACUGACCGGCGUCGUCGGUUCGAGGUGGUAGCGAUUUAAGUUUAGAAGUAAGUAUUUUCGGCCGCACGGGGGUGUGCUUCGUAUGUGGGCUUCGAGGGUGCAUCCCUAGGAGGCUUGUUGGGUGGCUUGUGGAUCAGGAAACGAGGGCAAUGUCAGCGAUCCGUGUUGGUCUGGACAGUGGACCAUCACCUUGGGCCUGGCCUGCCCUGACGGUAGCAAGCAGAGGCCCUACAAAUAGCAGGAAGAGGGAAACAAAACGGAGCUUGGACCAGAAUGGACUGGCGGCUUCGGUCGAGGCUCUCUCGAUAGGAUAGGUCAUGUUCACCGUCUCCUUCCUCUGAUACCCUUCUUCCUGAUAAUCGUCUGUCAUUUGUGGCUAUAAUCGAUGGACCAGUCAUCAAUUGAGAGUACUUUGCAUACCACCCCACCCCGUGCGCCUCCAGUGUAUGAACCGACCCACUUAAGUUUUUCGCCAGAACCUUUGCUGAAUCAGUUUUCUCCUGGUUUUUUCUUUUACAUUUUCCCUUUUUCUUUUCUGUUUUUCCUUUCUUUUGUUUUGAUUUUCACUACUUCUUUUCUUUUUUUCAUGCUCAAAUAUUCUUUCUAUUUUCCAUUUUAUUUUAUUUCUUAUUUCUACUUGAUUUUCUAAAAAGUUGUGAAUAUCUUAGAAAUUCGUAAACAUUUUUUGGAAUGCUGAACAUUUUAUGAAUUCGUGAACAUUUCUGGGAAAUCAUAAACAUUUUUUAAAUGCUUUUUUUUCAUAUUCACGAAGAUCUUAUCCAAAUCCACAAAGACCUUUUGAAAUUAUGAACAUUUUUUGAAAUUGUGUAUAGUUUUUGGAAACUCAUGAAAAACUUUUCAGUUGGCAUAGUUUUUCUAAUGGACGAACAUUUUUUUUGAAAUGCGUGACAUUUUUUAAAUGUUAGGGAACAUUUUCUGAAAUGCAUAAGUAUUUCUUCGAAUCCAUGAACAUUUUUUGACUUAUAAAAAUCGAAUUUAUGAACUUUUAAAUUUUGGGAAAAAUUGAAAUUCGAUUUGUUUUUGAAUUUUUGUGAACAUUUUUUAAAUUUUCAUAAUUCUUUUUGAAUUUGCAAACAUGUUUUCAUAUUCAUGAAUAUGUUUUAAUCAUCCGAUUUUUUUUUGAAGUCAUGAACAUUUUAUAAUUUCCAAAAUCAUGAUCAUUUUUUGAAUAUGUGAAUAUUUUUUCAAAAUCACGGACAUUUUUGAAUCAAAGAACAUUCUAUAUUUUCUCUAGCAUUUUUCAAAAUUAGGAACAUUUUAUAAUUUCACGAACAAGUUUUUUAAAAAAUCGCAUUUUUUAUUUUUUUUAAUCCUGUAUUAAGGAAGGAAAAACUGAAUUAGAAAAUAGUAAAGGAAAGAAAAAAAGUAAUGAUAAAAAUAUGCUUUUGUAUUGUAAAAAGUAGAAACUGAUACACAAUAACUCAAGGAAAGAUAACCGCAUCUCAAAGCAAAGCAAAGAUGAAAGAACGGUGCAGGAUAUGCCGCUACCUAGCAGUUCCGCUAAAUUUUCUGCUUUGCGGCCUCCUCCUCCUCCGCUGGCUCCGUCGGUGGGGGUGUGCGCAGAGGCUUCGAUAUACCGAUUGGAGCCGUAGUUUCCUCCUCUUGGAGCAUUAGAUAUGUCUCUGUCCUUCCCUCAAAAAAAAGAGAUAGGUCUCCGUCUGAUGGUCGUGUGACGAUAGUGUCAUUAUCAGUGUGAAAUAAAGUAUCCCUGCCUUAUCCUUGCUUCGGUGAUGCUUCCUCGGAUCACCGGGAGGCAUGUGAAAGCUGGUGUGUCCUCAGAUCUUGUUCUUUCGGUUUGGCAUUUUUUUUGUAGGUUUGUCUUGCCUGCACUGUCCCGCAAUGCUGAGUACAUGGUUGUACAUCUUGAUCCACGAUGCAUGAAGUUAUGAAUCAGACAUAUACGGAAAAAUUAUAUGUUCUAUUUAAAGAAGUUUUUGAAGAAGCUUAUGAUAAGAUUAAUUGGCUUUCCCUCAAUUUUUUCCUUGAAAAAGGUUUCCUCACGACCAUAUAUUAAUUGGAUCAUGCAGAUUGUGACACAUGGUAAAGUAGUGGUGAUGGUCAAUGACCAAAAUGGCCCGUUUUCACAACAACAACAACAAAAGGUCUGAUGCACCAGGAUUGUAUGUCUCUUAUUUUUGUUAAAAUUAUUGUACAUCUUCUUAGUUUACUUAUUUCUCAAGCACACUGGCAUGGUUAGCUGCAGGGGCUAAUUCCAAAUUUUCUAAAUUAUAUUCUUGGUUUAUUUGAUUUUUUCUUCUCUUUUCUCAUUGCAUAUUAAAUCAUCUCCAUAGCAGAAGGAAAAUGCAGCUUAUCAUAAUAACUACUCCAUCCAUCCAUAUUUAUAGGGCCGUUGAGAUUUACUUUGAUCAUUACAUAGAUCAAUAAUUAUGAUGUGUGUUACAAAAGUAUACUAAUUUGAAAGGAGUUUCUAAUGGCAUAGUUUUUAUAGCAUGCACCUUAUACAUUAUCGGUCUUGUCGAUAGUCAAUGCAGUUCUUGAAAUACGUAUUAUUAGGCCCUCUGUUUUCCGGAUUGAGCGUGUAGGAUCAUGCCCGACCAAACAUGCUUUUAGAUUUGCAUAGCAUGAAUUUAUAACCCCACCUAUGUGAGUUUAAUUAGGUUUUGGUGCAACUUAUAGAGAUUUGUGCACGAAGCUAGCUAAGGCCAUGCUUGGAUCCAAGGGACUAUUUUUAGUCUGACUAAAACUAGUCUCUUUUAGAGGCUAAAGUUCCAAUCACCCCUGACUAAAGAGAGGCUAGAACUAGUCUUGAGACUAAAAAAUUUUAGUCAAGGGAACCCUAUUAAAAUGUGGAUUAGUCCUCUCUCUCCUCAUUUAACUCCUCUCCUUUAACACAUGCGAGUUCGGGAUUGGAGGGUUUGGAGGAUAAUAAAUGCUCAUUAACACAUUUUAGUCUAUUUAGUAUUUGUAUCCAAGCAUGGGUGAGGCUAGCAAGUUUUAGUCCCACUACUUUUAGUCAUGGGACUAAAACGUAUCCAAGCACCCUCUAAGAGCCACAGAUAUAUGAUCGGAGGUUACACCAUAGUGGCAUUCCACAGAAGGAUGUGCCAUGGAGAAGUCGUGAACUUUUGCAUUGCUCGGUGUGUCCUCAUCCGACAGUUUCAGGAUCAUAUUUUUAAGCAUCGGCGCGCAUCUUAAUAGAUGUUUCAGGAAGUCAAACUCGUGGUCGUCUCCUUGAAAACCAUCGAUUUCCACUUCUUCAAGCUCGGCAAGGUGAUAGUUUGGCUUGUCCAGUCAUUAGCCUCGCACGCCCUCACCCGAGUGCUUGAGAAUCACAUUGACGAGCAUUGGUGCACAUCUCAAUAGAUGUUCCAGGAAGUCAAACUCACGCUUGUCUCCUUGGAAACCAUCGAUUUCCACUUCUUCAAGCUUCGUCAAGGAAACAAUUUGGCUUGUCCAAUCGGCUGGCUCGCAGUCACAAUAUUCUUGACAUUUCUCUUUGUCUUAAGAAUAAAAAUUAAUAUAAAAGGAAGAAUCACUAUAUACACAAUAUGAAAAUAACUGUUAUGUUGAACAAGGACUACCGUGGAUUGGGGUACGGCAACCCUGAGCCUACGUAUGGCAGUACAAAUCUUAUGCAUCCGGAGGAAGUAAAAAGCUACUGCUCCAUCUGAAGGAAAUAUGCCCUAGAGGCAAUAAUAAAGUUAUUAUUUAUUUUCUUAUUUUAUGAUAAAUGUUUAUUAUUCAUGCUAAAAUUAUAUUAACCGGAAACUCAGUACAUGUGUGAAUACAUAGACAAAAUAGAGUGUCACUAGUAUGCCUCUACUUGACUAGCUCGUUGAAUCAAAGAUGGUUAAGUUUCCUAGCCAUAGACAUGAGUUGUCAUUUGAUUAACGGGAUCACAUCAUUAGAGAAUGAUGUGAUUGACUUGACCCAUUAUGUUAGCUUAGCAUUUGAUCGUUUAGUAUAUUGCUAUUGCUUUCUUCAUGACUUAUACAUGUUCCUAUGACUAUGAGAUUAUGCAACUCCCGAAUACCGGAGGAACACUUUGUGUGCUACCAAACGUCACAACAUAACUGGGUGAUUAUAAAGGUGAUCUACAGGUGUCUCGAUGGUACUUGUUGAGUUGGCAUAGAUCGAGAUUAGGAUUUGUCACUUUGACUGUCGGAGAGGUAUCUCUGGGCCAUCUCGGUAAUGCACAUCACUAUAAGCCUUGCAAGCAAUGUGACUAACGAGUUAGUUGCGGGAUGAUGCAUUACAGAAUGAGUAAAGAGACUUGCCGGUAAUGAGAUUGAACUAGGUAUUGAGAUACCGACGAUCGAAUCUCGGGCAAGUAACAUACCGAUGACAAAGGGAACAACGUAUGUUGUUAUGCGGUUUGACCGAUAAAGAUCUUCGUAGAAUAUGUGGGAGCCAAUAUGAGCAUCCAGGUUCCGCUAUUGGUUAUUGAACGGAGACGUGUCUCGGUCAUGUCUACAUAGUUCUCGAACUCGUAGGGUCCGCACGCUUAACAUUAGGUGACGAUCGAUAUUAUGAGUUUAUGUGUUUUGAUGUACCGAAGGUUGUUCGGAGUCCCGGAUAUGAUCACGGACAAGACGAGGAGUCUCGAAAUGGUCAAGACAUAAAGAUCGAUAUAUCGGACGAUUAUAUUUGGACAUCGGAAUGGUUCCGGGUGAGAUCGGGCAUUUACUGGGUACCGGAAGGUUACCGGAACCCCCCGGGAGGUAUAUGGGCCUUAUUGGGCCAUAAUAGGAGAGAGGAAAAGGGAGGAAAGGAGGGGGCGCCCCCCCCCCCCCGAAGCCCAAUCCGAAUUGGGAGGGGGCCCCCUUUCCUUCCUCCUUCCUCCCCCUUCCUUCUCUCCUAAUCCAACUAGGGAAGGGGGGAAUCCUACUCCCGGUGAGAGUAGGACUCCCCUUGGGGCGCGCCUAGGAGGCCGGCGCCCUCCCCCUCCUCCACUACUUUAUAUACGGGGGAGGGGGCACCCCAUAGACACACAAGUUAAUCAUUGAUCUCUUAGCCAUGUACGGUGCCCUCCUCCACCAUAAUCCACCUCGGUCAUAUCGUCGUAGUGCUUAGGUGAAGCCUUGCGCCGGUAGCUUCAUCAUCACCGUCAUCACGCCAUCGUGCUGACAAAGCUCUCCCUCGACACUUUGCUGGAUCGUGAGUUCGUGGGACGUCACCAAGCUGAACUUGUGCAAAUCGUGGAGCUGCGUACCUUCGGUGCUAGGAUCAGUCGAUCGUGAAGACGUACGACUACAUCAACCACAUUGUCAUAACGCUUCCGCUUACGGUCUACGAGGGUAUGUGGACUACACUCUCCCCUCUCGUUGCUAUGCAUCACCAUGAUCUUGCAUGUGCGUAGGAAAUUUUUGAAAUUACUAUGUUCCCCAACAGUGGUAUCCGAGCUAGGUUUAUGCGCAGAUAUUAUAUGCACGAGUAGAACACAAGUGAGUUGUGGGCGAUAAUAGUCAUACUGCUUAUCAGCAUGUCAUACUUUGAUUCGGCGAUAUUGUUGGUUGAAGCGGCCAGGACCAACAUUACGCGUAUGCUUACGCGAGACUGGUUCUACCGACGUGCUUCGCACACAUGUGGCUGACGGGUGUCAGUUUCUCCAACUUUAGUUUAAUCGAGUGUGGCUACACCCGGUCCUUUUUGAAGGUUAAAACAACACAUACUUGAUGAAAAAUCAUUAUGGUUUUGAUGCGUAGGUAAGAACGGUUCUUGCUCAGCCCAUAGCAGCCACGUAAAACUUGCAACAACAAAGUAGAGGACAUCUAACUUGUUUUUGCAGGGCAUUUGUGAUGUGAUAUGGUUAAGACAUGAUGCUAAAUUUUAUUGUAUGAGAUGAUCAUGUUUUGUAAUGGAGUUAUCGGCAACUGGCAGGAGCCAUAUGGUUGUCGCGUUAUUGUAUGAAAUGCAAACGCCAUGUAAUUGCUUUAUUUUAUCACUAAGCGGUAGCGAUAGUCGUAGAAGCAAUAGUUGGCGAGACGACAACGAUGCUUUGAUGGACAUCAAGGUGUCAAGCCGGUGACGAUGGUGAUCAACUGAUCAUGACGGAGCUUUGGAGAUGGAGAUCAAAGGCACAAGAUGAUGAUGAUCAUAUCAUAUCACUUAUAUUGAUUGCAUGUGAUGUUUAUCCUUUAUGCAUCUUAUUUUGCUUAGUUCGACGGUAGCAUUAUAAGAUGAUCUCUCACUAAAUUUCAAGGUACAAGUGUUCUCCCUGAGUAUGCACCGUUGCGAAAGUUCAUCGUGCCGAGACACCACGUGAUGAUCGGGUGUGAUAAGCUCUACGUUCACAUACAACGGGUGCAAGCCAGUUUUGCACACGCAGAAUACUCGGGUUAAACUUGACGAGCCUAGAAUAUGCAGAUAUGGCCUCGAAACACUGAGACCGAAAGGUCGAGCGUGAAUCAUAUAGUAGAUAUUGAUCAACAUAGUGAUGUUCACCAUUGAAAACUACUCCAUCUCACGUGAUGAUCGGACAUGGUUUAGUUGAUAUGGAUCACGUGAUCACUUAGAUGAUUAGAGGGAUGUCUAUCUAAGUGGGAGUCCUUAAGUAAUUUGAUUAAUUGAACUUUAAUUUAUCAUGAACUUAGUCCUGAUAGUAUUUGCAUAACUAUGUUGUAGAUCAAUAGCUCGCGAUGUAGCUCCCCGUUUAUUUUUGAUAUGUUCCUAGAGAAAAACUAUGUUGAAAGAUGAUAUUAGCAAUGAUGCGGACUAGGUCCAUGAUCUGAGGAUUAUCCUCAUUGCUGCACAGAAGAAUUAUGUCCUUGAUGCACCGCUAGGUGCAGAUGCAAACGUUAUGAACGUUUGACAAGCUCGGUGUGAUGAGUAUUUGAUAGUUUAGUGCAUCAUGCUUUACGGCUUAGAACCGGGACUUCAAAAAUGUUUUGAACGCCGCGGAGCAUAUAAGAUGUUCCAAGAGUUGAAAUUGGAUCAUACUCAUUCCCGUGUCAAAAGGUAUGAGACCUCUGACAGUACUUUGCCUACAAGAUGGAGGAGAAUAGCUCAACCAGUGAGCAUGUGCUCAAAUUAUCUGGGUAUGACAAUUGCUUGAAUCAAGUGGGAGUUAAUAUUCCAGAUAAGAUAGUAAUUGACAAAGUUCUCUAGUCACUAUCACCAAGUUACUAAAACUUUGUGAUGAACUAUAAUAUGCAAGGGAUGACAAAAGUAAUUCUCGAGCUCUUCGCGAUGCUGAAUCAGCGAAGGUGGAAAUCAAGAAAUAGCAUCAAGUGUUGAUGGUUAACAAGACCACUAGUUUCAAGAAAAGGGCAAAUGAUAGAAAGGGAACUUCAAGAAGAAUAACAAGCACGUUGUCACUCCCGUGAAGAAGUCCAAAGCUAGACCCAAGCCUGAUACUGACACUACAAAAAAAAGACACAUCCGUGACAUUUUUGGGCCGAACGAAUUUUUUUUCUGUCAUACAUAUGACACUUCUAUGACGAUAAUUGUGAAAAAACCCGGUAUCAUCAUAGAUGUGGUGGGCUCCUACUUCUAUGACAAAAAAUUAUGACAGAAAAUGAGCUUUUCAUCCUGGGUGGGCCGAAGACGCAGCUACAUGACAUUCUUUGGGCCGUCCAUGACGGAAAAAACCGUGGUAGAAGCGAGGGGGAGGAAAAUUUUGGGGAGUUCCCGGUUACGGUGGGAGGUCACGGGCCGAGCGAUGUGUGUUUCUCUCGUACACGUACGCGCGUGUGUGCGAGUGUCACAGCCCUAGAAUUGUUUGGAGAUAGUUGCAUCAGUGAGCAUCAUGCAUCCUGUUAAUUUCAACAAACUUGAAAUGAGGAAAGUGAAAGCCUCAAAAAUCAAUUUAAAAGAAGGGCAAGAACCCUUUAAAUUGCAUUCAUUGUUUUCAAAAUGCCUUCAUAAAUGUUUGUUAAUUUUGGCAAGGCUUUGAGACCAAACCAAAAAUAGGGAACAUUUUUGUGGAAUAUUUUGGGCACUGAAUUUAAAUCGCUAUCCUAUUUGAAUUUGGAAAUAUACCCAAAUAUAUAUAGGAUAUAUCUCCAAAUAGCUCUAAUAUAUUUUAUGUGCAUUUGGAAAAGUCCAUUUUGCAAUAUGAAAUUAUUAGAGGAUAAUUGACACUGUUUUGAAUUUUAAAAGCAGUGGCAAAGAUAAAAUGAAAACAAACAGAAACAGAGAGAGAGAGAGAGAGAGAGAGAGAGAGAGAGAGAGAGUUACCUGGACUUACCUCUGCAGCCCACCUGGCGGCCCAAGUGGCCGGCCCAGCCCACCACCGCCUCCUUCCCUGUCGUCUUCCUCCUCUGCCAGAAGGACGGGCGCGUGCCCGACGAGCGCGCACCGCAGUGCGGCCACCUCCACCCUGCCUGGCUGCCCCCUCGUCGCUCUGGACCCUCCCCGCGACGCCACGCAACCUCCUCGACCCCCUCGAGAUUUCUCCCGUGCCUCUCCCCUCCUCUGGUCCUCUCUCCCUCUCGCGCCGAGCACCACUGUCGCCGCCGCCCGCUGUCCCCGUGGCCACCGAGCUCCCCUCGCCUCUCCGAGCAGACCACGGGCUCUGCCUCCAUCUCCCGCGUCUCUCCGUCAGCUCGCACGACGCCGGACGCCCUGCCUCGCCCUCUACCCCGCCAUCUUCGUCAUCUCUGCCCCGAGAUCGCCGGCGGCCGCACGACCUCAUCAUCCCCUCCUCGAGCACGCCGAGGCCACCUCUGCACUCGCCGUGAGCUCCUGCUCCCAACCCCUCUCUCCCCUUCGUCGAUUUCCUCCUCUAGGCCCUUUGGCCACCUCGACCGAAGCUCGCCGCCAUUGCGCUUCGUCGCCGCCGUGGGUAGAGCCCACCUCCGCCGCGCCUGAGAGCGUCAUCGUGCUCAGCACGUUUGCAGGAGCCCGUAGCGCCCACUAGCUCCUCCUCAC
rnacentral:lncRNA from 1 species